rnacentral:sRNA from 1 species
CUUGGUCUUGCAGUUUAUAAAAUGGUGGUCUCAUUUCCUAGGCUUUCGGACAGUCCUUUCUCCAGCCCGACAUCCACCUUUUUAAACAAAAUCUCUUCUACUUGGAGACGCUCAACACCAAGCAGAAGCUGUACCACAAGAAGAUCUUCCGGACUGCCAUGCUGUUCCAGUUUGUGAACGUGCUGCUCCAGGUCCUGGUCCACAAGUCCCAUGAUCUUCUGCAGGAGGAGAUUGGCAUCGCCAUCUACAACAUGGCCUCAGUCGACUUUGAUGGCUUCUUUGCCGCCUUCCUUCCAGAGUUCCUGACCAGCUGUGAUGGUGUGGAUGCCAACCAGAAAAGUGUGCUGGGGCGGAAUUUCAAGAUGGAUCGGGUGAGGAGAGAAAGAGGCCGGGCUAAGAGGAGGGCAGAGUGGGCACGCAAGCCUGGCACCUGUGCAGCAAGGAGGGGGCACAUUGAGGCCUCUGGGCGUGGUCUGUGCCCACCCUGCAGCUUGGCGGCAGCUCACGAGAUGCCUGCUGACCCGGUGCUGUAGCCUGAUUGAGGGGCACAGCCUUUUCC